rnacentral:rRNA from 1 species
ACUCAAAUGAAUUGACGGGGGCCCGCACAAGCGGCGGAGCAUGUGGCUUAAUUCGACGCAACGCGAAGAACCUUACCAAGGCUUGACAUACACCGGAAAGCAUUAGAGAUAGUGCCCCCCUUGUGGUCGGUGUACAGGUGGUGCAUGGCUGUCGUCAGCUCGUGUCGUGAGAUGUUGGGUUAAGUCCCGCAACGAGCGCAACCCUUGUCCCGUGUUGCCAGCAGGCCCUUGUGGUGCUGGGGACUCACGGGAGACCGCCGGGGUCAACUCGGAGGAAGGUGGGGACGACGUCAAGUCAUCAUGCCCCUUAUGUCUUGGGCUGCACACGUGCUACAAUGGCCGGUACAAUGAGCUGCGAUACCGCGAGGUGGAGCGAAUCUCAAAAAGCCGGUCUCAGUUCGGAUUGGGGUCUGCAACUCGACCCCAUGAAGUCGGAGUCGCUAGUAAUCGCAGAUCAGCAUUGCUGCGGUGAAUACGUUCCCGGGCCUUGUACACACCGCCCGU